GGGCCAGUAGGUUGGUCGUGCCACCGGUACGUACUGGUCUCACUGAUUCCUCCUUCCUGAAGAACCGUAAUGCCAUUAAUUUGGUGUUGCGGGGAAACAGGACUGUUACUUUGAAAAAAUUAGAGUGUUUAAAGCAAGCUAACGCUUGAAUACAUUAGCAUGGAAUAAUGAAAUAGGACGAUCGAUCCUAUUUUGUUGGCUUCUAGGAUUGACGUA
rnacentral:rRNA from 1 species